UACGUAGGGGGCUAGCGUUGUCCGGGUUUAUUGGGCGUAAAGAGCGUGUAGGCGGCCAGGUAGGUCUGCUGUGAAAACUCGAGGCUCAACCUCGAGCUGUCGGCGGAAACCAUCUGGCUAGAGUCCGGAAGAGGAGAGUGGAAUUCCUGGUGUAGCGGUGAAAUGCGCAGAUAUCAGGAAGAACACCCGUGGCGAAGGCGGCUCUCUGGGACGGUACUGACGCUGAGACGCGAAAGCGUGGGGAGCGAACAGG
rnacentral:rRNA from 1 species